rnacentral:rRNA from 1 species
UUCCGGUUGAUCCUGCCGGACCCCACUGCUAUCGGGAUAGGACUAAGACAUGCUAGUCGUAUGUUGGAGGCGCGGCACACAGCUCAGUAACACGUGGCUAACCUGCCCUUGGGACGGAAACACCCCCGGGAAACUGGGGUUAAUUUUCGAUAGGUGAAGACUCCUGGAAUGGUUUUUUGCUGAAAAGAGUAAGCGCCCAAGGAUGGGGCCGCGGCCGAUCAGGUUGUUGGUGAGGUAAUGGCUCACCAAGCCUUUUACCGGUACGGGCCGUGGGAGCGGUAGCCCGGAGAUGGGCACUGAGACAAGGGCCCAGGCCCUACGGGGCGCAGCAGUCGCGAAAACUCCGCAAUAAGCGAAAGCUUGACGGGGCUAUCCCGAGUGCCGUCUGCUGAAGAUGGCUUUUACCCAGUGUAAAUAGCUGGGAGAAUAAGGAGAGGGCAAGUUCUGGUGUCAGCCGCCGCGGUAAUACCAGCUCUCCGAGUUGUGGGGAUAAUUAUUUGGCCUAAAGCAUCCGUAGCCGGCUGAGCAAGUCCUCCGUUAAAUCCAGCGAUCUAAUCGUUGGCCUGCGGGGGAUACUGUUUGGCUAGGGGGCGGGAGAGGCCGCCGGUAUUCUCGGGGUAGGGGUGAAAUCCUAUAAUCCCGGGAGGACCACCAGUGGCGAAGGCUGUCGGCUAGAACGCGCCCGACGGUGAGGGAUGAAAGCUGGGGGAGCGAACCGGAUUAGAUACCCGGGUAGUCCCAGCUGUAAACGAUGCAGGCUAGGUGUUAGGGCGGCUACGAGCCGCUUUAGUGCCGCAGGGAAGCUGUUAAGCCUGCCGCCUGGGGAGUACGGCCGCAAGGCUGAAACUUAAAGGAAUUGGCGGGGGAGCACCACAAGGGGUGAAGCUUGCGGUUUAAUUGGAUUCAACGCCGGA